rnacentral:rRNA from 1 species
CCUAGUGGCAGACGGCUGAGUAACGCGUGAGUGACCUGCCCUUGAGAGGGGGAUAACACCGGGAAACCGGUGCUAAUACCCCGUACGCUCUCCGGUGUAAAGGCCGGAGAGGAAAUGAAUUUCGCUCGAGGAGGGGCUCGCGUCCUAUCAGGUAGUUGGUGAGGUAACGGCUCACCAAGCCGAAGACGGGUACCUGGUGUGAGAGCACGACCAGGCAGAGGGGGACUGAGACACGGCCCCCACUCCUACGGGAGGCAGCAGCAGGGAAUCUUCCACAAUGGGCGAAAGCCUGAUGGAGCGACGCCGCGUGGGGGAUGAAGGUUUUCGGAUCGUAAACCCCUUUUCUCAGGGAAGAGUAAGGACGGUACCUGAGGAAUAAGCAUCGGCUAACUACGUGCCAGCAGCCGCGGUAAUACGUAGGAUGCUAGCGUUGUCCGGAAUCACUGGGCGUAAAGGGUCCGUAGGCGGUUUGUUAAGUCUCUUGUGAAAACUUCGGGCUCAACCCGGAGAGGUCGGGGGAUACUGGCAAACUCGAGACUGUCAGAGGCAGGUGGAAUUCCCGGUGUAGUGGUGAAAUGCGUAGAUAUCGGGAGGAACACCAGUGGCGAAAGCGGCCUGCUGGGACAGUUCUGACGCUGAGGGACGAAAGCGUGGGUAGCAAACCGGAUUAGAUACCCGGGUAGUCCACGCCCUAAACGUUGGAUGCUAGGUUUGCGGGGUAUCGACCCCCUGUGAGCCGUAGGUAACCCGUUAAGCAUCCCGCCUGGGGACUACGACCGCAAGGUUAAAACUCAAAGGAAUUGACGGGGGCCCGCACAAGCAGCGGGAGCGUGUGGUUUAAUUCGAUGCUAAGCGAAGAACCUUACCAGGGCUUGACAUGUAAAGUGGUACUGAGUCGAAAGACAAGGGACCCGCAAGGGAGCUUACACAGGUGCUUGCAUGGGUUGUCGUCAGCUCGU